rnacentral:rRNA from 1 species
UACGUAGGGGGCAAGCGUUGUCCGGAUUUAUUGGGCGUAAAGAGCGUGUAGGCGGCCAUGUAGGUCCGUUGUGAAAACUCGAGGCUCAACCUCGAGACGCCGAUGGAAACCAUAUGGCUAGAGUCCGGAAGAGGAGAGUGGAAUUCCUGGUGUAGCGGUGAAAUGCGCAGAUAUCAGGAAGAACACCCGUGGCUAAGGCGGCUCUCUAGUACGGUACUGACGCUGAGACGCGAAAGCGUGGGGAGCGAACGGG